rnacentral:rRNA from 1 species
CCUACGGGAGGCAGCAGUGAGGAAUAUUGGUCAAUGGCCGCAGGGCUGAACCAGCCAAGUCGCGUGAGGGAUGACGGCCCUACGGAUCGUAAACCUCUUUUGUCAGGGAGCAAAGGGCGCCACGUGUGGCGCUUUGCGAGUACCUGAAGAAAAAGCAUCGGCUAACUCCGUGCCAGCAGCCGCGGUAAUACGGAGGAUGCGAGCGUUAUCCGGAUUUAUUGGGUUUAAAGGGUGCGCAGGCGGAAUGUCAAGUCAGCGGUAAAAUUUCGGGGCUCAACCCCGUCGUGCCGUUGAAACUGGGGUUCUUGAGUGAGCGAGAAGUAUGCGGAAUGCGUGGUGUAGCGGUGAAAUGCAUAGAUAUCACGCAGAACUCCGAUUGCGAAGGCAGCAUACCGGCGCGCAACUGACGCUCAUGCACGAAAGCGUGGGUAUCGAACAGGAUUAGAUACCCCAGUAGUC